rnacentral:rRNA from 1 species
UACGUAGGGUGCGAGCGUUGUCCGGAAUUAUUGGGCGUAAAGGGCUCGUAGGCGGUUUGUCGCGUCGGGAGUGAAAAUCCAGGGCUUAACUCUGGACUGGCUUCCGAUACGGGCAGACUAGAGGUAUGCAGGGGAGAACGGAAUUCCUGGUGUAGCGGUGAAAUGCGCAGAUAUCAGGAAGAACACCCGUGGCGAAGGCGGCUCUCUGGGACGGUACUGACGCUGAGACGCGAAGGCGUGGGGAGCAAACAGG